rnacentral:rRNA from 1 species
GACGAACGCUGGCGGCGUGCCUAACACAUGCAAGUCGAGCGAGUGAAUCUCCUUCGGGAGUGAAGCUAGCGGCGGACGGGUGAGUAACACGUGGGCAACCUGCCUCAUAGAGGGGAAUAGCCUUCCGAAAGGAAGAUUAAUACCGCAUAAGAUUGUAGCUUCGCAUGAAGUAGCAAUUAAAGGAGCAAUCCGCUAUGAGAUGGGCCCGCGGCGCAUUAGCUAGUUGGUGAGGUAACGGCUCACCAAGGCGACGAUGCGUAGCCGACCUGGGGGGGUGAUCGGCCACAUUGGGACUGGGACACGGACCAGACUCCUACGGGAGGCAGCAGUGGGGAAUAUUGCACAAUGGGGGAAACCCUGAUGCAGCAACGCCGCGUGAGUGAUGACGGCCUUCGGGUUGUAAAGCUCUGUCUUCAGGGACGAUAAUGACGGUACCUGAGGAGGAAGCCACGGCUAACUACGUGCCAGCCGCCGCCGUAAGAC